UCCCUUCGUAAAUUUUACGGACGCCAUCACGAGUUGGUUGACCGUUAUGGAAUAACCGUUUCACAAAUGAUAUCGGAUAUGUUCCUUACGUCGUAACUACAAUCCCCUUCCCUUUCAUGAAUGUGACCUACCGAAUUAGACUAUUUACCGGAUUUGUAAUCACAUAAGCAACACGACGGGUGCCACAAGUGGAGCAGGAUCUGCUUACCCUUCCGGAGCACCUGAGAUCACCCCUAGUUUUUGGUUGGGUUCGUGUUGUUUAUUCUUUAGUUUU
rnacentral:lncRNA from 1 species